AACGCACCUUGCGCCCUUUGGUAUUCCGAAGGGCAUGCCUGUUUGAGGGUCGAUUGAAACCUUUCAACCCCUCGUGCCGUCUCUUCGACCGGACGGUGGAGGUUGGACUUUGGGGCGUGCUGGUCAUGGGUCGGCUCCCCUUCAAAUGCAUCAGCAAAAAAAAUAAAGAACCCUUUUUUGACAAAGUCGGCGUGAUAAACAUUUGCGUCGCACGGGGAGGGGGACUUUCUUGCUCACAACCGUCCUACGGGACAAAAUCCUCUUGACAUUCUGACCUCAAAUCAGGCAGGACUACCCGCCGAACUUAA
rnacentral:misc_RNA from 1 species